GAGAGAAUCAUUGAAUACAUUGAUGCCAUCCAAUCACGAGACAAGAGACAUGAAAUCCCCAGACUAAGGAACAAGUUGUAGGAAAUGAAGAUACUGGAACUACCAAAACAACAUUAGAAUCUUUCACUUCGAAGACCUGAACAAGAUCAAACCUUCCAGAACCCCAGCAUUGAUAGAGGUGUGGUUGCUCUGCUGUUAAAUCUGUUUCGUGGACUACUCACCACAACUCAAAUUUAAGUAUAAUCUGUGUAUACAGACUAUGCUUUCUGACUCCAUCCAUGCAGUGAUGUUCACCUACAUUGAUCUUGCCAUCUAAUCACUGAGAAGAAUAUGAUGAGAAGCAUGAGCAUGGAGUGAAGAUAUAGAACUCUUGGCUCCUCCUUCACCACAUAUGUUUGGCUGUGCCAUAUUCUUGCCUUGAUGAUAAUGGACUGGACCUCUGAACUGAAAAAGACCUUUGCACUUGUGAACUCACAGUAGCUGUGACUGGCUGUACAAGAUCUGUGCAUUGCUUAAGAGUGACACAUAACCCGCCUUAGACAGUUGAUGGCUGUUAGAGAAAGUAUUCCUCCAAGGAAAGUGGUAGAUAGAGAAAGGAGACUUUUCUUGAGGCUUUCAAUAAACCUUGCCUGGAGUAAACACUAUAGUAGAAACAUUGCACGACCCUGCUUCAAACAACUCAACAAUUGAAAAGUAACCACGUUGGAAUGAGUUCCUGUAUACAACAGCCAUGCUAUGUCUAGAAGAGAGCAUUUCAGAGCUUUCUUCCAAUUUUCUGGCUUUUAUAUUAGGCCCCUCUUUGGUAGUAUUCCUUGAGACUUGGGGAAAGGAGCUGUUUGAUAUACAUGCCUCAUCAUUGCCUGAUCUCCCUCAGUCACUUAUUUUCAGCCAUUUAAAUAGAUAGUUUCUU